GUAUAUUUAUUAUGCACCUUCCAAAUAUCCCUGCUUCCAGGUGAAAACUCCCAUCCUGUGUUGAGAUUGGACCCUGACAUAUGUGGAGGUCGGAGGACAACUUGCAGGAAUAGGAUCUCUCCACCAUGUGGAUUCAUGGAUUCAAAUGAGAAAGCCAUGAUGUCCUUCCUCAAAAGCGUUAACAUCCAGCUCCUCAGAGCACUCAAAGGAGAAGUCUAGCCCUGUGCAGCUGCAAGGGAGAAGCUCAGUGAAGCCAGCAGACACACAGCACUGACACAGCUUGGCCAGUGUUCUGUAGUGGCCUCAGCUCCUCAUCUGUCAUUGAGAACUACUGCACCCACCCUCGUGUGUGGGAGGAUUCCCUGAAAAUGCCUAAGAUGGUGCCUGGAACAUCACAGGUCCCCAGGGAACGCUCACUGUUACUCCUGCGGCCCAAGCAUCCAAGCUGUUCUGGGUUCCCCAAGUCAUCAAGCAGCAUGGCUGGAAGGUGCAUGCAUGCCUGUGGUUGGAGGGACAUGCCCCACUCAGAACUAAAGAUAUCCUGUAGAGGACCUGAGAGGUCCUGGGGGAUGGUUAAGGUACUAAAAUGCCGUGAGCACCAGGGUUUGAAUCCCCAGAACACGUAUGAAGGCUGAGCACUGGAGUGUGGCAGCUGCCUGUCAUCCCAGUGCUCAUGAGGCUGAGAGGAGGGGUCCCCAGAGCAAGCCAGCCAACUAGACAGGCCAAAUGGGUGAGCUCAGUGAGACCCUGCCUAAGUGUAUAUGGUGGCCAGAGCCAUGAUUCAGUAGGUAAGGUAGAAACAGAUCCAGAAAGACUUGAGGCUUCCACAUGCACAGACACCCACAUACACACAUGUAACUGACCCCGCCAUGUCCCCGAAAGACUAUGUGCUAUAUGUGGAAGAGUAUGUGCAUGAUACUCUGCGAUGCCUGUGUACUCUGGAUUCCAUCCCUACUUCUCACCACAGAUUGUCAAUGCAGUGGAGAAGCGUGCAAAUCAGUCACUGGAAAGCAAGGCAAGACAUCAGCAGAGAAACACCAGCUGCUCCUUCAGAGGGCCUCCAAGAACUGGUUCUCAGUGCCCACAUGGCAGCUCACAACCAUCUGUAACUGUAGUACCAAGGGACCUGACACUCUCUGCUGGCCUCUUCAGUCACCUACAUGCACAAACAUAUAUAUCACAUAAAUACACAAACACAGAAGAUUCAAAAUUUAAAAAUAUUAAAGUGAAUACUUGGAAAUUUUCAAAAUAGUUGUAGUUGGAAGUGUUUAGUGAUGAGGGGACCCGAGCUGCAUCAGUGUCAAGCCUGGGCUUUGAGGACACUGUAGUCCCUUUUGCUCCCCUACCUCAUGGGUGCCCUGAACUUAACUGGGAGGAAACGUAGCUCUAUAGAGGCAAAUGGUAUGGAUGCAGCCAGGGACCUGUGUGUGUCAGAUGCCCCUACUCUUCAGCAGAAGGGAAAGCGGGGGCAGCCAAGGC
rnacentral:lncRNA from 1 species